GGGCGGUUGGCGCAGCGGAUAGCGCGUUGCCCUUACAAGGCAAAGGUCGCUGGUUCAAACCCAGCACCGCCCA
rnacentral:tRNA from 1 species